CUUAUUCUAUAAAUUCAGUAUCAGGUUAGUGCCUCUGUUUAGUGAUUAUAUAGAACUACCUUUUGAACUUGCAGAAACUGAAUGCAUAUAAGAAUCGAGGACCUUUACAGUUGAUGCAUGAUGAUGAUCAUCCACCGAGCAGCACAUCAUCUUGGAAAAGCAGAUGCGAAUUUCUGCUAGGGAUAAGCUGGUCAAUGCAGGAAAAUCUAAAAGAAAGCGACUAAAAUCAACAUUUGAAGGAGAAGGCGCUUAUUUCACCGGCUAAGGUUUCUGUUGGUUACUUCUUUUCGUCCUUCAGUUCAUCGAAAAAUGAAGAGGAUCAUGCCUUUCUGUUGGAAUUGCUUUUCUGGUUUAAGCAAUCAUUCAGAUCACCCAUGCCUCCACUACGCCACCUGCUGUUGGAUGGCACUGGCCGUCCAAGCAUGUGGAACUGGAAGGACUGUCCGUCAUGGCGGCACAGCUCAUCUCAGAGGAGAAAAGACCAAGGUCCUGCAGGUUUCAAGUACUACAUAUAGGAGGAGGCAGGAGUGGCUGCAAUCUUGCUACGAAAUGACACUUACGGAGCUUCUUUACCUAACAUGGCCAAGAAGUCCGCAAAAUCCAGUGAGCGUAGAGUAUAGCCGGUUGGAUACAUAUCUGCAGAGUGCAUGUAGUGUGUGUGUCAGAUAUACAGUGGGAAAACACCACAAUGCAAGUGUCAGAUCCUGUUCUUGAUGCAA